rnacentral:lncRNA from 1 species
UUAUUGAGACAGCUGAUACAACCUUAGUUACAACAGAAUGGGCUAUGUAUGAACUUGCUAAAGACAAAAGUCGCCAGGUUGUUUUUCCGCUGUGUUUAGUUUUUAAUUAUAGCACGUUUAGUUUCAUGGUGAAAUGAUCUAGAGUCACUUGGGAAAAAGCUACAAGUUUUAGCUUCUUAGCAAAUGUGCCUUGAAUCCUGAGCAAAUCGUGAAAGCGUGCUACUAGUGGUUUCUCCCCCAUUAUUGACAAACAGUUGCUGGUUUACUCUUUGUGUCUGGUUGGUUAAUUUAUAGCAUGUUAGAUCAGUUUUCUCUUUUCUCAUAUAGUAUGUGUCGAAUUGCUUUGAGCAACUUGAAAUCGAUUCUCUAUCAUAGAGUAGCUUCUCAUUUACCCCUUCAUUUCAACAUCGAUUCUACUAAAUGUGAAAAAUGAUAGCUUUUCGCUAAGAGUCAGUAUCUCAGAAGUUUCUUCACAUAAUUAAUUUUGGCUUUACAAUUAAUUGUUAGAAUGAUUUUCAAACAUGCACCUAAAUUGUUGCCAGUCUCCUCUUUAUAUGGCAGGACCGUUUGUAUGAGGAGCUCCAAAAUGUGUGUGGACAUAAAAAAAUUACAGAAGACCAAUUAGCUAAGCUACCUUAUUUAGGGGCUGUGUUCCAUGAAACUUUAAGGAAGCAUAGUCCAAGUCCAACAGUACCACCAAGAUAUGCUCAUGAAGAUACCGAGUUGGGUGGAUAUCAUAUUCCUGCAGGAAGCGAGGUGCAGAAUUUAGCUUCUUAUAAAUAUUAAAUAUUAUGUUUAUAUGUAUGAUUGCGAGCCAAUAUUCACAUAAAUUUAUAUGCCUCAUUCAUUCAUGUUAACUGCAGAUUGCAAUAAAUAUAUAUGGAUGCAACAUGGACGAGAAGCAGUGGGAAAAUCCUCAGCAGUGGACGCCUGAGAGAUUUCUUGAUGAGAAAUAUGACAACACGGAUUUGUACAAGACAAUGGCAUUUGGAGCAGGAAAGAGGGUGUGUGCAGGGUCUCUUCAGGCCAUGUUGAUUGCUUGCACAGCAAUUGGCACAUUGGUUCAGGAAUUCGAGUGGAAGCUCGGACAAGUGGAGGUGGAAGAGAAUGUGGAUACAGUGGGCCUUACCACCCACAGGCUCCAUCCUUUGCAAGUCAAACUCAAGCAAAGAAAUUAAAUAGGGAAGAUGAACUUUGGAACUAUAUUUUUUUUUACAAAACUUUAGAACUGUGUUGGAAAUAAAGUUAAUAACAUAAUUAGAAAAUAAAAAGUCGCAUGUUUUAAAAGAACCACAUGUAUCCUCUUUGAGGCAAUCAUAUUUGACCUUAGUAAAAGUUUCCCUAAAAUUGCAUCUCCUAAGGUUCGAACUAUUGAUCUCAUAGAUUCAAACAAGCACUUUUUACCACUAGGACCGGUACCUAUUAAGUAUUUUUUUAGUAUUUUAAUUGAGUAAUUAUAUAACGGGUUUUGAAUUAUAGAGGGCAACUAUUUUGUGUGGCAAAAUAAUAUAAAUUUUCAUUUGUAUAGUAUCUUCAUCUUUUAUGUCUUUUAUUUUUAAACAUGUGGUUGAUUUUAUAGCUAUAUAUUUACUUAGUAUUUUUUUUUUGGUAAAUCGGAAAGAAAAAUUGCACUCAUAUGUCUCAUAACUCUUAUCAUUUGACCUAUCAUUCAGAGAUAUAUUUACGUAGUACUUUGACAUAAACAACUUUGAAAAAAUAAAAUUACUUAAAUAUGAAUAUGUAUGGAAAUUAUCCAACUGUGUAUAAAAAACUAAUAAAUUAAUUUAACGGUUCUAAAUGCUGACAAAACCCUAACAAAACCCUUUUUAUUAAUUCUUUAUAUUAUUAAAUAUAACAAUUAACUAAUGUACCAAAAUAUUAAAAAAAUGUUAAAUUAUUGUACAUGUAUAAUAUUUUUAACUUACUUUAAAAAAACUUAACUUCAAUUUUGAAUAUGAAUCCUCUCCAGCAGAAUUGUCUCCAGCAUCAUCCCUCUGCAGGUUUCUAGUCAUUGAUUUUUAAAAUCAAAGGCCCAUAUUACUCAAACAAAAUAAACACCUUAUUAAUUAAAUAUGUACAUGUGAUUUAAGUGGCUGGACUGAAGGAUAUCCUGAUAAGUAUUUCUUUAAGGAUAAAACUUACAUUAAAUUCCUUAUAUUCGUUCCAUCAAGUUCUUCAAUUAUGUAGUGGCAUGUCUCUAAUUUUUUUUAAAAAUUUAACAAUUAAGUCUUAAUAAAUCAUUUACUUUUACAAAUAAAGUCUAUUUGUCAUUGUUUCAAUGAAGAACAUGACAAAAUGAAGAUAAAGAACUUGAUCUAAGUUUUUUCCUUUUUUAAUAUUUAUUAGAUUCAUAAUUAGCAAAUCACUAAUAUUAUUAAACAUGUUAAACAUAACCAAAAUAAACAGCUUAUUAAUUAAAUAUGUACAUGUGUUUUAAGUGGCUGGACAGAAGGAGAGGUAGGAGAGGAUCUCAUCCUGAUAAGUAUUUUUUUCUUGAUAUAAGAUUAGACCCAUGAUUAGCAAGUCACCAAGAUAAAAAAGAUCAUGAUUAGAACGACUAAUAUCACUAGUUCUUUAUAUUUUUAAUUUUUUAUGGCCCUGUCAUUGUAUCUUGUUGCUGACACCGUGACACGAAUCUCUUGGCAGAGAUGCUGCAAUUAUAGCCUCCAAAUUCCAAAAACUGACACGCUUUGUGUGUCUAUAAAUAAACAUUCAUGAUUAUGAUGGUUCCCUUACAACUGAGUGCAGUUCAGAGUUGUGUUGCUAUUGCUAAUUUGCUAUGGACACGCUUCAACUUGUUCAGACACAACCCUAUGCCACUACCCUUGCUUUGGGUGCUGUAUUUCUCUUCUUCUUGUUUUGGUUCACCACCAAACGUUCCAAACUUCCCACAGUACCAGGUAGCUAUCUUUCAUUCAUUAAUGUUUGUUGUUUUAUUAGUAAGUUGCAAUUAAUCAUUUUCUAUGUUUUGAUUGAACUGGUGGUAAAAGUAUUAAACUGGUUGGUUGGUUAAUUUGUUGCAUGCAGCGGUUCCAGGGCUUCCAGUGAUAGGGAAUCUGCUGCAAUUGAAGGAGAAGAAACCUUACAAGACAUUCACUCAAAUGGCUGAGAAAUAUGGGCCAAUUUAUUCAAUCAGAACUGGUGCUUUCACCCUCAUCGUUCUCAACUCUGCUCAAGUUGCCAAGGAGGUUACUUGCUCUUCUCCUUCCCUAUUUUUUCUAUUAUCACUGCUGUUGUUUUCAAAUUUUCAACCCUUUACUUAACAGAUGCAUGAAUAUAUUGAUGUUUAUAUUAAAUCUUCAUGGAAGUGUUUUUAAAAUGUCUGUAUUGACUAGAGAUAUGACCAAAUAAAUUUUUAUAAAGGAUAGAGCAGUUCUCACCCCAAAGCUAGCUUUUGGGGUAAAGUCUAGCAUGAAUUCUAAGAUGAUAUCAGAUCCUAUGGUAUCAGAUUUUAUAUGGAUUCCCAGAUCCAUUUAUCGGAGACUACCCAUAUAUGGACCACUUGUAACUAGAGAUAUAGUCAAAUAAGUCUUUGUCAAGGGUAGAAUAGGUGUAGAGUUAAUGAAUUAUAGGGUUGAUUUUAUUUCUCUAUUUGAAUUUUAUGAUUCCUGUGGCCAUUCGUGGUCCUGCUUGAUAUUGUGUUGGACCACAACCUACUUUUAGCUGAAAAAGAGACCAAAGAAAGACCAAGUACCAAAAAGAGAGCUGGUACUUGCAAGAAUACAAUCACAAUUCAAGGAAUCAGCUGAUUUAAGGAUUGAUCCUCUGAUUCAGCUUCAAUUACCAUGCCAUAUGAGUCCUACUCCUCUUAUGUAGGAGAUUAAUUUAGAAUUGCACAGGUUGUUUCUCUAUUAUCCAGUUUAAUUAUUACGAGUAGGUUAUGGAAAUAUUAGUGUUAACUGUCCAUGAAAUUAUUUAUGUUUCUGGUUUGUUAGAUUAUAAACAUUUAUGGUUGCCUCAGGCAAUGGUGACCAAAUAUUCAUCAAUUUCUUCGAGGAAGCUAUCAAGUGCGCUACAGAUUCUGACUUCCAAUAAAUGUAUGGUUGCUAUGAGUGACUACAAUGAAUUUCACAAAAUGAUUAAAAGACAUAUUCUUGCAAACGUUCUGGGAGCCAAUGCACAGGUUGGUUGGUUGGUUACAAUAACUUGAUUAAAUGUAAAUCUCUUUUUUGUUGUUGUUUGGUUCUGAAAGUGUAUUUUCCAAUAUUCAGAAGCGACAUCGCCUCCAUAGAGAAGUGAUGAUGGAAAACCUUUCGAGGCAGUUUAAUGAACAUGUGAAGACAACCUAUGAUUUGGCUGUGAAUUUUAGGGAAAUAUUUGCAUCUGAACUUUUUGGACUAUCAAUGAAGCAAGUAAGUCUCUGUUUGGAAGAUUUUUUUUGAACUUAUCUUAUAGCAUAAACGUUUAUGCAAGUGUUUGUGACUUCUUAUGUAAAUAGCUUAUGGUCUACCUAUAAGCUGUUUUGAACUUAUUUUUGACUUAUGAAUAAGAGUUUAUGUUUAUCAAUAACCUAUUUUUGGCGUAUUUCAAUACAUUUAUCAAAUUAGUGCAUAAAUAAGCGUUUAUGUGAUAAGCGCUUAUUGCCAUAAGUGCUUAAAUAAGUUGUUUAUCCAAACACACCCUAACAAAUGACCUCAUGGCGAACUUUUAGGCUCUGGGAAGUAAUGUAGAAUCCAUUUAUGUAGAGGAGCUUGGGAGUACAUUGUCAAGAGAUGAUGUAUACAAGAUUCUCGUGCUUGAUAUAAUGGAGGGUGCUAUUGAGGUGGAUUGGCGAGAUUUCUUUCCAUACCUUAAAUGGAUUCCAAAUAAGAGCAUAGAGAUGAAGAUUCAGAAAUUGUAUGAUCGCAGAAAGGCUGUCAUGAAGGCCUUGAUGAAUGAGCAGAGGAAGCGAUUGGCCUCGGGAAAGGUCUGGUUUUUCUUUUAUAAGUACAAGUUCAAAUUUUGUAGAAUCGAUUCUGUGAACUCUAAUUGAUUGUUUGGGAUGUCACAGGAAGAAAAUUGUUAUUUUGACUACCUGUUAUCUGAAGCUAAAGAGCUGACUGAAGAUCAACUUUCCAUGCUGAUAUGGGAGACAAUUAUUGAGACAGCUGAUACAACCUUAGUUACAACAGAAUGGGCUAUUUAUGAACUGGCUAAAGACAAAAAUCGCCAGGUUGUUUUUCGAUCUUUUUGUAUGGUUUGUAAAUUUAUAGCAUAUUUGGAUAAGUUUCUCUUUUCGAAUUGCUUUGAACAAUUUAAAAUCGAUUCUCUAUAGUUUACCCCUUUAUUUCAGAAUCGAUUAUGCUAAAUGUGAAAAAUGAUAGGAUUUCCAAACAUGCUGAGAAUCAAUUCUGGCACCAAGAAGCUACUGAGUCAGUUGUAUCAGCUGUCAUUAGCUUGUAUCAGCUGUCUCACUGGUGAUAGAGUUUGACUUGCAAAGGAUUUGCAAAGUAGUACUGACAUUAGCUUCUCCCUAUAAUUCAUUGAAUCAGUGAUUUCCAAACAUGCAAUUAGUGGUUUACCCCAGUAUUGAUAUAAUGUCGUCGGUUUUGUCUUAAAAUGGCAG